CCUAGCAAGAAGAACUUGAAAGGACAAGCUACUACAAGAUACUCAUCAUAUUGUCUGCUCUACUGUGGGAGGACUGUCAGAUGAAGCAAUAGUAAUCAUAGUACAAGAACUUGAUUAGAAGUCAUGAGUGCUUAACUACCGGGCUACCAAUUCUGUUAUCUUCCUAGGCAGAGACAUUCCAAUUAGCCAUGGUCAAACUGAAGAUGAGAUGAUUCAAAGCCAGUGUUUGCCCACAAUGGUUUGCUAAAGUGAAAAUAAGAAAGGCUGUCAGUCUUUUGGUACACAGCGCCAUUUGAUCAACCACUGAGGUCAAGGGGAAAUCUUCAUGCACUUUUAUCCGACUUGUGUAAAGGGGUUUUCAACUUCAUCUGUGGUAGGCAGGCUUGGAGACAGGCUGUUAUGACAAAGCUGUCAUUUCUGCUCCAGUGCAGUAGUGAUUUUAUCUUUAUAUAGUUUCUAUCAUUUUCAGAUAUGAGAUCUAUGCAAGCAAUGUUUUCACAGAGGCUUUUUGAGCUUCUGUGUUGUAAUCGACCAUUUUGUGCUAUUAGUUGGCAGGAUCCACCUUUGAUUCCAGGUCACGCUGGCCUCUUCUGUACCAGUCAACUAGCUGGUAGAGCAAAGAGGAAUAUGCUGCGUAUCUGUCAUUGUUGCUGGAUAUUUGUGCAGUAGCCACCUGUGAGAACAUGACCGAGUGUCACAGCCUCAUUGUGUAGCACACUCCAGAGGAGCAGCAAAUGAGCCAUUUGUGUCCAGAGAGUUCAUGAGGCUACCGACGUGAGUAUGCCUGCAACCCGUGUGAGGUGGCACUUGCUGGCUGCACCAGUGAAGUUUUCCUACUGCCAGCUUUGACAUAAAACGUUUCCUCAGACCUUUUGGUUUACCCAAAUCAGCUGACGCCUGACAUUUGAGCUGAUGUGUUUUGUCUCACAGUUGGAGUGGGCUGAGGAAAUGGGGAACGUUGGUUGGUUUAGGUGGGAAACGUGACAGGUACUAAUUAGUUAAAUCACUGUACCUCAAUUGCAUUUAAUUAUAUGAUCAUACCUGUAGGCCAUGUGUCAAGGAAGAAAAAGUGGAUAGAACAGACAAAAGAAAGGAAGAUAGGGUGGGAGGAUAAGAUUUCACUGUGUAAUGAACCAGGCUUAGGGCAAAAGGAAACAAAGCCACAACGCUAUGGACUCCCCUCACAUAGUUGUUCUGUUUGGCUUAGCAGCAUUAUGGGGCUUUUCACUGAUGAUCCUUCUUGCUCAGCUCUUUAAUUUAAGAAAGGAGAAUAUUAUUCCUCUAAAGACCUGACUUUGGCAUUAGGGUGUUGCUUUUAUUAGCAAAUUGUCUUUGCUGGUUCCAUUUUUAUUUUUUAAGUAACAAAAAGGACAAAACAAGGAAAAAAAGGUGAAACCCAAUUUUUGCAGAAGAGAGGAUGCUCCUAUAAUAAAUUCUGCCAGAGCUUCAGCAGCUUCUAGCAAGCCUUUAGCCACCGCAGAGCUUUAUUAGUAACUACAACCCAAGUGUUGUGGCAUUUGGAAAGCCGCAGAGCCUUGGUUACAUCAAAGAAAUUGUCAUUUACAUGCCUGGGCACUCCUCUGACAUUGACAGCCGGUUACUUUGCAAUCCUUUAAAAUGAUUCUGGGAUUCCCUGUUCCUUUUGUAAAGAGCAUACGUGGUAAAUUGGUUUCUGUAGGGGAAAAGGGCUUCGGCCACCUCGGUGUGUCCCAGGAGCGGUUCACAGGGCAUUGCUUGAAAACGCAGAGCAGGACCCAAACUGAGUGCAAAGCUUAGGCACUCAUAAUAAUUGUCGUAAUUGGCACCUCAAGUGUGACGGCGACCAGCUCUGUCCCCACGCCGCGCUGCCGAGUGCCACAAGGGCAGCGAUGUCCGUGGAUGUAGGCCUCACGGGAUUCCUGCUCAUCCCACAGCCCCUGAGGGGCUGAGCUCACCAAAAAGAUGCUGGCAGUUUGAGUCAGUGUGUCUCUUCUGUGUCUCUUCUCGAUGCUAUUGAUGCACUUCGCGUCUUGGCUCUUGUCUUGGCAGAGAACUCAGGAGGGCCGGAGGGGCAGGGGCAGGGCCUGUUUUUGUUUUACAUAUGAAAGGCACUAGGAAUGGGGUUUUUGGAUGCUCAGAUAUGAUACUUUGGGAGCUGCUGAAACUGGAGGGCAAACUUCACAGAAAGUGAACUGUUUGUGCUCGUGAUUUUGAUCAAGCCCAGGACCUGCUUCUACAACACGAGAUUGCCUGGGAACCACCAGGCCCCUCUUGUUCCUGCCCCUCGCCUGAGCCAGGCUGUCCCAGCAGCGGUGUGAAGCCCAGCAAAUAGUCAGAAAUACGUUGCCUGCUCAAUAGGAGCUUCUGCUUUCAUAGCCUCUGGCCCACAGUCCAUGUGGGUGUGAUAAGCUCUGUCAGUCUCGGCUGGUUUCUCGGUCUCUAGUUAAAUGCAUUUUUAUGAACUGGUGAAUUGUUUGUAGGAAUUAUUUCACUGUAAUGUGUUUCAGUGUCUGGCGCACACAAAUCCUGCCAAUUUUUCAUUGUCCACAGGCAGCCCUUUUUCCCUUCUGUGGGGAAUUGAUUUUGAGAGAAGAAUAUACCUGCUGUGAUGCCUGAAUUCUCCACAAGCAAUCUUGCCUCUGAGUGCCAGCCACCCCAAUGCUAUUUAGCUCGCUGGAAGUGCUGAAAUUACAGCCCGAGGUGGCAUGGCUGCUGCAGUAGUAUCAACCAAGUGGGAAUAAAAUCGUCAGUGACAAGGGACGAGAUGACCUCCACUAAUCCAAACCUUUUACCCACAUGUUUCUGCUUUCCAUAAAAGUACAAAUCUCACUUGUCUGUCAUUUAAUAAGAUUACAAGGCAAGACCAUGCAAUUCUAACUGUUUGCUUCUGAAAUGAAAUCCAUCCCUUGUGAAUGGGGAGAGCCAGAGCUAGCUAUGUGUAAGAUCAGAGUAUGUCAAAGCACAUCCUGAAUUCUGUCUUGGGUUUUCUUUCAUUCAAGUGUUCAACGAGUGAGCUUGUUCUGGCUUUCUGCAAAAAGCGAGUGUUGCUCCCGGUGCUCCCCAAGACCGAUAAAUCUUUCUCAUUUCCCUACAAAAGACAAGGAGCAGCAAGCUAACCAAAUCCUGUGCUGUCAGUGAAGCUGUGAUAGAUUUUCUCUAGCUUCAAUAAAUGAACCUAACUUU